rnacentral:miRNA from 1 species
UGGAUAGCUCACAAUCUGGUAUAAAUGUUAUCUCUCCAUUUAUAUGUGUGUGUGUGUGUGUAUGUAUAUACACACACACACACAUAUAUAUGUCUUCACAUAUA